rnacentral:rRNA from 1 species
UACAGAGGGUGCAAGCGUUAAUCGGAAUUACUGGGCGUAAAGCGUGCGUAGACGGUUACAUAAGUCGGGUGUGAAAGCCCCGGGCUCAACCUGGGAAUGGCAUUCGAGACUGUGUAGCUAGGAUGCGGAAGAGGGAAGCGGAAUUUCCGGUGUAGCGGUGAAAUGCGUAGAUAUCGAGAGGAACACCUGCGGCGAAGGCGGGUUGCUGGGCUGACACUGACGCUGAUGCGCGAAAGCCAGGGGAGCAAACGGG